rnacentral:tRNA from 1 species
UGCAGGGAGGAUGUUGGUAUUCCGGUCUUGUCUCAUAAGCAAGUGCUUCAUCAGUUCAAUUCUGAUCCCUGCAUCCA